UGUAAGUAAAAGUGAAACAUUGUCUGUGAGAUAUAUGUAAAUGAGCUUGAAUGCAAACAAAUCAUGUGAAUCACUAUAUAAGCUGCUCUUUCAAAUGAACAAUCAAAAGAGGGAGAUGCACUUACAAGCAACGUUAGGCUUAGUACAUAAGAGAAGUUCUUAUAAUCAACCAAUUGAAUGUAUGUUUGUAUUGGUGCAGAGACAUUUUGCUUUAAAUAGAAGUGAGAUUAUUUUGGUAUUGAUUAUUAUUUCGUUGGAGAUAUUUUGUUGGAGAUAAUUUAUUUUGAUAGAUUAAAUAAAU
rnacentral:lncRNA from 1 species